rnacentral:SRP_RNA from 1 species
GCUGGGCAUGGUGGCAGGUACCUGUAGUCCCAGCUACUCAGGAGGCUGAGGCAGGAGGAUCCCUUGAGCCCGGGAUUUCAAGGCUACACUGAGCUAUUGCAUCCAUAAAUAGCCAGUGUGCUCCAGCCUGGGCAACAUAGUGAGACUCUACCUCCA